CUGUGGCAUACUCGACCAACUACUGCCGUCUGGGAUGGACAUCAGCCAGGAUAUGACAACUUCAAAGCAUCCAGCAUUCAAACCCCAGCAUGCUUUAGCUAUUAGUGGAGCUGAGACUCCUGCCAGGAUGUGACCACCUCAACCCAUGCUGUACAACUGAUGAAAGCAGUACGGGGGCCCACUGAAGACGUAACAAUUGAAGAUGUAAUAAUUGCGUGAGUUUUGCUAACACAUCAAAAGCUCUCCCACACUUAUGCUCUGUGCUCUGGUGUCUUCUAUCUGGGCAGCAUUUCAACAGGCAACCUGGUGGUCCCUGCUUGGAGAGGUCAUUAUAUUGAUGCCAAACUUAGUAUGGACGCCCAAUUAGCAUAGCAUGCUACAGCUGAGAACCCCUAGGCUCAAGUGAUCCACUUGGCUCAGCCUCCUGAGUAGCUGGGACUACAGAACAUGUGACUGAACUUUGAAAGAUGAAAAACCACCUGCUUCCCCCUUCCCCAACUGGAAAAAAGUAAACCAGCACUGUGGUCUCCUUCUCUGGUUUAUUUGUGAGAGGGACCUUCAAAUGGGCCCAGAUGCAGACGGAUGACCUGAAACUAGUUCAAAUUUACCAAGAAAGCAACUUUGAGAAGCAGCAGAAACAAAUACAGAGUUCCACAAGGCAA